UGUGGCUCGAAAUUAUCAAUCAUCUAGAUCAAUGAUGAAUUCAAGAUGAAUUUGAUCUGAUCAAUUUAUUCGUUCGAUACAUGAUCAGUCUCGUUCGGUUCCUUAGUUGAUCCUUCCAUCACCGAUGAACGGGUACAAACCUAUUUGACCGAUUUUAUGUUCCGGUCAAAUUCAGUUUUAGUAAACUCAUUCGAGUUUCGAUGAGAAUAGUUAAUUAACUUUCUCUUGACUUAUUGAGCGAGGUAAAGUUUAUCUACAAUUUGUAAACUUAUGCAAUUAUGACCUUCGAUUAGUGAACUAAACAUGGUAUUGUUACCGGUGGUCAGUACCUUUGGAUGUUUACCUUAUUCAAUAGCACCAUGUAAACGCAGUGUUUACGAUACUCGGUCGGUGAGGAGGUACUUUCUGAGGCUCUAUCGUGCCCACAAGAGUGUAUUUCUAGUUAUGGUAAAAAAAUCUGAUUCUGGUAAAUUUUUUGGACAAAAAUCUUAUUCGUUUUUUGAACCUUACGAUAUAAUGGCCGAGAUAAUGACCAAUGGGCCAAAAUGUUAAUAUUUUCCGAUUUCUACAAUUAUAAAUCGGGUUAGUACAUUUUAUCCUAUCAAAUUUAGGUAGAAAUUUACUAAUUAUUAUCAUCAUUUUUGGUGUUUAUCAAUAUGAAACUGGUGAAUGGCUUGGUUAUCAUACUUUUAAGAUAAUUGGUUUGUGUAAUGAUAAAGGUAUUGAUUAUUGGUUAAUUGCUAAUACCUGGAAUAUCAGUUGAGGCGAUGAAGGUUUCUUCAAAAUCAAACGCGGUGAAAAUCAAUGUGACAUUGAAUUUUAUGUAAUUGCUGGACAACCGAUGAGAAAAUAUUUGAUUGUUAUAAGUUAUGCAUUUCCUUUUCCUGUUAACCAUAUGUAAAUUGGCUGAGCUAACUAAAUAAGUGCUAACGAUGGAAUAACCAUGAUAUUUUCUUUUUUCAAUUUACUAAUUAUUUACAUAUAUUCUG